GUGGGCGUAGCUCAGCAGUAGAGCACAUGCUUAGCUUGCAGGAGGUGCUGGGUUCAAUUCCCAGUAUCUCCU
rnacentral:tRNA from 1 species